rnacentral:rRNA from 2 species
UGGACCUCAGAUCAGGCAAGAUUACCCGCUGAGUUUAAGCAUAUCACUAAGCGGAGGAAAAGAAACUAACAAGGAUUUCCUUAGUAACGGCGAGCGAACCGGAAGAGCCCAGCUUGAAAUCGCGAGCU